rnacentral:misc_RNA from 1 species
UCAAACUUGGUCAUUUAGAGGAAGUAAAAGUCGUAACAAGGUUUCCGUAGGUGAACCUGCGGAAGGAUCAUUACAGUUGCUUCGGCUUUGCUGAUAGCAUCCGUGUCUUUUGAGUACCUUUGUUUCCUCGGUGGGCUUGCCCACCAACGGGGACCCUUUAAACUCUUUGCAAGCACAGUAAUAGUCUGAUAACAAACUUAAUAAAUUAAAACUUUCAACAAUGGAUCUCUUGGUUCUGGCAUCGAUGAAGAACGCAGC